AGAGGUCACUUGUAAGCGCGCAGAACACAGAGUCUCACCGAACAAAAUUAUUUGUGCUACUUCCCAGCGCUUCUUGUUCGUCACGACACACACCCUUUUAUGGCUUUCGGCCCCUUCCCCUCCAAGAUAGGCACGCGCCGCUGUCCCCCCCCCCCGAUUCGAAACCAACGGCAAAGCUGAAAAUCUGCCUUACGGACGCCAACGCCCCGCACUAGUGUGCGUGUGUGUCAGUAGGCUUGUCUCUUGUCAGAGAUGCAGGUUGUGGUGCAGGCAAGCAGCCUUGCUGCCGGCGAAUCCCGCCGUGGCACGUAUCAGACGGCCCUUAGCGAUGCGUGCUGCGCAGAAGAAGCCGAAAGUGAGACGGAGAGAAACUGGGGCUAUGGUGCCGACGGUAGCACCACCAGCGCGUCACACACCGGCUCGUCUUCUGCACCGAAGCAGGCCCCCGUAACGUCGAGUUUAGUCUUCCAGUAUUUCUCUCUGCUCGCCUCCUACCACGGAGCCGGGCACGUGCCGCGGUACUGGGCAGAUAUGCUUCGCCCGUCUUCGGUAGCAGGAGCCAAAGACGACGAUGCCAGCACCAGUGAACACGCUCGGGAGUGUGCGGACGAGCUCAUUUCCCCUGUGACGGAGAUCGACCUCAGCGUUUGCUACGUGGGGCCGACCAUGCUCCUGGCCCUUGCUGACCUGCUUCGCGUGCAAUGUGUGACCGUGCAGCGGGGUCGCAGUCAGCGAUGGCCAGUGGGCGGCAAGGAGGGUAUGGGCACGCUGCCUUCCGUGAUGGCACCACUCUGGGGUGCGGGCGCGCGUCGCUCGAGCAAGGGAGAGGAGGUGAUGUGCUCCUUGCUUCCGCACUUGACAACAUUGCGACUUAUGCACCUCGCAAUGGAUUUCACGGUGCCUGACGAUGCCACAGGAUCAAAAGGCGGAAACGCGGUGCUGCGCAGCAUGCUGGAGGCACUGCAGGGUCACCCCUCGCUGAAGAUGCUGGACCUCUCCGGCAACCCGGUGGCGGCGGCGCUGGUGCCGGCCAUUUCGCGGCUGGUGCAAGUGACGCCGUCUUUGACGACACUCAUGCUUGACGACACGCUCGUCACGGAUAGCGAGAAGGAGAUGCUGCGCGCACAGUGCUUGCUCAAUGAGCUGCGCCUACAGCGUGCGACAGCGGAUGGAGCGGCGGCGACAGUUUCCGACGACGCUUCCUCGACGACCUCGCCGGAGUCUGUCACACGAGGGCUGUGGGCGGCGCAGAUGUGUGAGAAUGUGCUCAUGGCUGUGGAGCGCGGCGUUUCCGCUGUGCCGUGGCUCCUUGGGAAGUCUACUGCUCUGAUACGUCGCUACGGUACGUCGAAGACGUCAGAAGUCGAGACAUCCGCUUUUGGAAGAAGUGCUCGUACCUCGCGCACCUCCGAUAUGACGGGCGGGCUCUCCCAGUUUGGCUCCAGCUCGGUGAGCCCGUCGUCCGCAACGGACGUGGCGCCGAGCUUAGAGAUAGCAUAUUUGAGCUACGACUACACAAGCGAGAGCUCGGCCGCUGCCGUGGCUACAGUGCCUCCGCCGGCGGGUGCAACGUGGAGUGCCGAGUGCACCGAGGUGGCGCGAUGCGCCUUCAUGUCUCGAUCGCUGGCGCAGCGCACCGUGCUGGGAGGGCGGCCGGUGUGGCCUAACGUCCCGAAACCGCUCGAAGCGGUGGUAUCGACGGAUCUGGCUCCGCCGUCGGCCGCUGCGGUGGCAGCCACGGAUCUUCUGCUUACUCUCCGUCAGCAAGUGCUUCCCGAGCCCGAGGCCCCGCCGGGACUGCGCCGCGGCUCAGCACGCGAUGACACCUUUCUCACCACUGCGGAGGAAGAGUACUGGUCAGUGCGGAAGAAGCAGGAGGUCCAAUGGGGGUAUGUGUUGCAGAAGGUCUCGGAAAACCUAACCCCGGUAUUCGUGCGCAAUGGGCACACCCUCUACGCGGAGGGCAGCGUGUGCGACAGUAUCUACCUUCUUCCCGUAUCGCUGCAGGAAACGCGCACCUACGCGGAGCUCCACGUCGGCGUGAAUCCGGGACAAGUGAACCGAGUUUUGCCGGGCCAGUGGGUCGGCGAAGCCGAGAUCCUCGACUGUCUCUCCAUCUACGCCAAGUAUCCGUCCUCCGCCACUGAUGGAAGCGCUGCAGUGCCCGGCUCGGAGACCGUCUUGCAGCGCAGUAGCACCGUGCGCGUCUUCACUGAAGCAACAGACGACGUCGUUCUCUGGGCACUACCCUUCCGCGUCGCCUUCUUCUACCUCUACGCUCCCUAUCAGCUGCUGCAUAAGCAGUUUGUCCACCGUACCCCGAUGAGCGCCUUCGCCCACAUCCACCCGGUUCACCUUGCCUGCGCCCCUGUGCACAUGCACGCAAGCCACGGCUCCUGCCCCGCCUCGGCGGGGCAGGGUCUCGACAGCGGUGCUGCGCCAGUUCUUUGCCGAUACGCGUUCAUGUCGCGCCAUGUCCUCUUACUGGAAGAGGGCGAGUUUCUGCUGCGUCUGCCGUCCCUGGCCAACCACGUGGGGCCUCGCAACGGUGGCCGCACCGCUGCAUCGACUAGAGUGGUGAUGGAGGAUCAUCACCUCCUAUCGGGUGUAACCGUGCUGACGCAGCCCCUCCUAGACCUUGACGCUGCGCUGCGAGUCACCGUCGCCGCCGAACUGGCCGCUGAGAAUGGCGGCGCCACUGUCACGUACGCCCGCGGACCCCAUGGAACGCUGGCCCUCGGCAAGCAGGCCGAGCUCUGUCGCUUCCGUGCAGCCAAGGUGGAGCGCACAGCGGCGAGCGCUACCGUUAGCUACAGUGGAGCCAGUGAGACUGCGGAAACGGUCGGCGACAGCGACGGAAACGCGGCGGUGCUUCGCCAAUGCCGCACUGGCGGUAAGGCGGCGCAGUGGCGCUACUCGGCCAUCACCAACGAGGAGUUCACCGCUCUCUGUCCUGCACUGCGUGUUGCACUCACUCGGCACAUCUGCGUGGUGCACGACCUUUGACAACUGCCGACGGUGUGCGCUGAGGCAAUUUGCGAAGCCAUCUGCUCUUCGGCACCACGUCACCACUUCUGUCAGGGGGAGCUGCACCCUAUCUUGGUUCGCCUUUUUUCUUGUUUGUCUUUUGUGUGUGGUCUUGAGCAUCAUGAGCGUGAUGUCGGAUGUAAAUUAGCCCUCAUCAGCUCACUGUUGUGAGGCAGAGCGUGUCUGCGGCAGUGUUCACGAUGGCAGCGGAAAAGGAAUAGAGUAACCCGACGGACAAGGGAAAGAGAGAAGCAGAAGGGGCGUGGUGGUGGGAGCUUCAUGGAAGUUCGGAAUGCAAGAGAGAUGCAUCUCGAGUAUCUGGAUGUGUGCCGCACGUUCGUGGCCCUUUGUCAAUCGUUGCGUUAUCUUCCCCCUGGUGUGCGGCGUGGUUCGGACGAAAAGCGCAUCACCGGACUCUCUGCGUGUGUGCGCCCAUGCGUGCAAUUGUGCCGCCGGGCCUAUCUGCAGCGAUACCGCGACGCCCAUCUGGCACACCACCUAGAGCAACCAUGAGCGCGUGGGCUUUUUACUCACUUGGCAUGCGCACAUGAGAGCCCACCGUGAUUGCCUCGC
rnacentral:misc_RNA from 1 species